ACACCGGCCGCAUAAGAGCUCGAUCAUAGGUUCCCGAACUCCCGAACCGCGCUGGAACAAAGUAAAAAAAUACUAUGACCAUCCAUCCCGCAUCUCCCGCACUCCCUCGAUCCCACCUCCUGCAGUCCGACCCAUCGUCCCCCACCAUCAGCCCCCAGAACCGCCGCCGCCAUCGCAUCUAACCCGCGCGCCACUCCGCGGGCCGGGAUCCAGCCCCCGCGCCUCCCCACUCCUGGAUCCGGCCGCCUCGCUGCUCCCGCGCCUGAGCCGGCCCCCGCGCCGCCCCACUCCUGGAUCCGGCCGCCUUCCCACCUUGCUCCCCCGGCAGCACCCGCCUCAGGCCGACGGCGCGAGGAGGCCGAGCUCGGCCGUGCUCGCCACCUCGGCGGCUCACCCCGCCCCAGCCACCUCCGCCCUUGCCUCCAACCACCGCCCCGACCACCUCCACCACCGCCCUCUGCCCCGACCAUCUCCCUUCCACCUGCCCCCAACUUCCCCUCCGGCGUGACCUUCCCAGCACUCCGCCGCGACCAUCCCUCCCCUCCGACGCGGCCUGCCCUCCGCCCAUGUUUCUUGGAACGUGCUGUCGUCCCCACUCGCAAAUCGAGCCAUGGCCGGCAAGAUCCAUCAUGGCUCCCCUGCAACAGCUAUUUUUCCAUAUGUAGUGGUUGCAAAAUAUCUACUAUCCCCAGUUUACCAACUAGUGCUAUUGACCUCUGCAACAAAACCUGAACCAUCUUCUCUUGAAUUCCUCCAGCCUAACACACCCGUGAGAUCGCCUGACUACGACAACGACGUGCAAGGGACCCUCACCAUGGGUGUCGCGGACGAGUACGUGGGCGCCGUCAUCGGCUAUGCCGGGAGGACCAUACGUGAGAUCGAACGGGUUACGGGCGUGCAGAUCAGUAUCUCUAAGGGGGAGCUCAAAGCUGGGACGAGCGAGAGGUAGGUACUACAACAGGGAGGUGGUGACCAGUGGGACAUGGAGGCGGUCGAUGCGGCGGAGGUGAUGAUCGUGCAGUGGGUCUCGGACGCCGCCAAUAGUUGCCGCCGGUAGCAGGGUGGCGGUGGUGUUGACAGGCGGCCUGUCAAGGAAGUGGAGUAGCAGCAGCAGUAGCGGUGAUACAACAGAGCAAAGCGGAGCAGAGCAUAGUACUGAAUUACUAAUGGUGGUAGUAGGGCAGGAGAUGUCCCAAGUUUUUUGGUCCCUUGCGUGCAUCGCCGGAGCAAUUUAUUAGCAAGAAUUGCUUACUUGGGAGGGGAAGGCAUGGUGCAAUUACUGAUGGCUACACGGUUAGUUUUGGUUUUGGUCAAUGUUGCUUCCAUGUUUGACUACUAGUGUAUCCGUGCCUUGUGUUUCGGUGAGAGGAUGGAUGGAUGAUUCCUCUGGGUUUGAUUGAUCCAACCCAAGAGGAGAGUACUUCUGAAAUGGAAGGCCGAAGCACAGUUGUUUUUUACUGCACACAAACUUGGAUGAUCUGAUCAGAUGAGAUCAGACUUCCAUUGUGGAGCAUGCUGCAACUUUCGUUUAGUUCUGAGACUCUAAUUUUGUCAGUUUAGUCCUUGUAUUGUUCUUUUACGGAAAAAAAUUGAAGAGUCAAAGAAAAUGGAAAGAGAAUGCAUCAGUAUAGCUACUUAGCAGAAAAUGGUCAAAGAGUAUGUUGCUUCGAUGAUUUUUUGUGUGCUUGUAUUUGAAAAAUUACAUCAAAGAAAAUUCAGCAACUUGUGUA